AGUGAACGCUGGCGGUAGGCCUAACACAUGCAAGUCGAACGGCAGCACAGUAAGAGCUUGCUCUUACGGGUGGCGAGUGGCGGACGGGUGAGGAAUACAUCGGAAUCUACUUUUUCGUGGGGGAUAACGUAGGGAAACUUACGCUAAUACCGCAUACGACCUACGGGUGAAAGCAGGGGAUCUUCGGACCUUGCGCGAUUGAAUGCGCCGAUGUCGGAUUAGCUAGUUGGCGGGGUAAAGGCCCACCAAGGCGACGAUCCGUAGCUGGUCUGAGAGGAUGAUCAGCGACACUGGAACUGAGACACGGUCCAGACUCCUACGGGAGGCAGCAGUGGGGAAUAUUGGACAAUGGGCGCAAGCCUGAUCCAGCCAUACCGCGUGGGUGAAGAAGGCCUUCGGGUUGUAAAGCCCUUUUGUUGGGAAAGAAAAGCAGCAGGUUAAUACCCCGCUGUUCUGACGGUAGCCAAAGAAUAAGCACCGGCUAACUUCGUG
rnacentral:rRNA from 1 species